rnacentral:rRNA from 1 species
GAUGAACGCUGGCGGCGUGCCUAACACAUGCAAGUCGAGCGGACAGACGAUGUGCUUGCUCCUCUGACGUUAGCGGCGGACGUGUGAGUAACACGUUGUUACCUUCCCUAUAAGACUGGCAUAACUUCGGGGAUCCUGAUCCAAUACCGGCUACUAUUUUGAACCUCUUGGUUCAAUAUUGUUAGACGUUUUUGCUGUCCCUUAUACAUCGAUCCGGGCCGCAUGAGCUAGUUGGUAAGGUAACGGCUUUCCAAGGCAACGAUGCGUAUCUGACCUGAGAGGGUGAUCGGCGACACGGGAACUGAGACACGGUCCAGACGCCUACGGGAGGCAGCAGUAGGGAAUAUUCGGAAAUGGGCGAAAGCCUGACGGAGCAACGCCGCGUGAGUGAAGAAGGUCUUCGGAGCGUAAAACUCUGUUAGUAGGGAAGAAGAAAUGUGUAAGGAACUAUGCACGUCGUGACGGUACCUAAAGAAAAAGCAACGGCUAACUACGUG